GUAGUUUUGAAAUGUUAGCCGAGCUGACGUCUACCUACUAGCGGGAAAAUCAAGAAUAUGUUUUCUUGAAUUCGACGACAUACCAGCUUGUUAUCUGUGAAACAGACAUUCAUCGUUUCCAUCUCCAAAGUUUUAGACCGAGAACAGCGAUGGCGUUAUCCGCUUGUAAAAUGGUCUCUCGCUCACGACCAGCUCUUAGUAUUGGACUCCUUAGGCAGGCACUCUCUCCCCCUACGCACGCCACAAGCCAGGAGUCCUUAUUACGGUGCUUGAACCGUUUCCAGGGGACCUCCUCCAAGCUCCACGAAUCCCCUUCCCCGGAUUCGAAGCCGAUCAGUCGCUUUCCAAUACCAGAUCGAGAUACGCUCCCGGGUGAUAUUCAGAGGGUGAUGAAGGAAGUUGAAAAACAGUCCACAACUUGCAAACCGUAGGUCCUGGAAAGAGUGAAGAAAAAAAUGGCUAUAUCCAAAUCAUAGUAAAAGGACAUGAUGGAAUCUCCCAGAUUGAGGUAGCAAGCAGAGACCAGAAGUCACCAGAGUCAGCAAGUCUGCAGAUCUGUGUGUAGAAGAGAGAAAAAAAGAAAUAGUUUAAAUAAUCAAAUCAAAGUAUGAAUUUAAUUAUCGUGAUGAUUGAUGACGUGCGGUGGCAUGUAAUUCCCGGUCAACAACAAAUGAUAGUAGGUUUAGACACCUGAAAAGUUCCACUCAGAACACUGGUGCUCUACCUCAAGUGAUGUUUGUGUAGGCCCCACUCCACUUCACUACCGCUACACUACCGUACAUGUACGCCACACCUACCCGGGUAGGUGUGUAGCGUAGUGUAGGCUGUAGCAGUAGUGAAGUGGAGACUACACGAACAUCACUUGAGGUACGGUGCUCUCUGAGUCUCUGUGUCAUUACAAAGAUUGCAUUUAUCUUCAUUGUUGAAGGCAUUACGCAUACAUAUAUGCAGCAACACUCUAAUCAGAAAGAAACACCAGACUCUAAUUUUGGCCCACCCAAGGGUUCAUUACAUGCCACCGCGCACAGAAAAUUCAAGCCAUAGAAGUCGUGGACCCAAGAAGUGAGAUCCCAGCACGCGCGACCCACUAGUUAGAAAUCCACUGCCAAACGCGGUUCGUGGUGCGAGGUUAGUAUACUAAUACUAACCUCGCAAUACGUGUGAGUGAUUUUGGCCAGGAAUCAGGGUAAUCACUGCUGAAAAUUUGUCUGGCUUCAUGACAUCGGCAUCAUGGUGAUAUAAUUCUGUGUAUAAUAAAAACUUAAACAUUCCUCUGAAACAGCAGAUUUUCAGCCAUGGUCCAUACCAGUGCUCCUAAAUAAUUUAAUCGCCUGCCUGAGUCCUGACCAGUUUUAGAAAUCUGAAGAAAAAAUCUGCUGGAAUUGUGCAAAAACAUUAUUUCUAAAAUAAAAACUUUUUAAUUUUAAUAGUAGUUAUGCCAAAAUGCAUGAUUCUAAACUUAUAUCAGAUCUGUAUCUGUCAUCUGACCUGAAUGCAUCGUCAGAACAAGUACAGUUUCCAAACAUGCUUACCUUGACUUUUGACUGGAUCAAACAGCGUAGCCUGCAACAUGCAUCGGGAGCAAGUGAAUGGGACCGUGCAGCUUGGAGUUUUUCAAUAGUUAGUAGGCCUAGACGAGCAACACAACGAAGACUGUCGAGUGGACAAAAGCGAUCUUUCCAGUUCACAAUUCAAUAAAAAACGGGCAAAAUAACACAGUUCUGGUUCCCUUAUAGUCUGAAGUUGUCGAAAACAGAAUUUGGAUAUCACAAUACAUGAAGAAAACGGUAAAUUCGAAGAAAAAUAGAGACCAGGAACGUGAAUCAGCUAUCAGCGUACUGCUGGCUUGCACAGAGUGAGUCGAUCAUGUGACGUCACUAUUCUCGACUGUUUUUGAUCGCGUGACUGUCUGUCUGGGGGCGGCUGGGGGGCUGAGAAGGGUCUCUAAUAAUUUCAUUUCUUGCAUUUCCACGACAUCAAUAAGACUUUUUAGUGACAUAUUUGUGUAUAACAAGACAAGACCUUUCCAUUCGUAUAUAAUUUGUCUAUAAUCAUCACUUUCGUGAAUUUUCUUUGGAUGUAUACUUUAAAGAAAUAGCGUAUAUCUUUUUUUCUUGCUUGUUUAAGCAAAUGAAUAUCGAUCGACUUUCUGUGCCCCCCCCCCUUAUACUAAUACCCAAUGUUUAUAACGAUUUAUAACGCGCUUUUCCCAAAUGGCCCAAAAGCGUUCACAAUUUCGAUUUAGGAUCCUGUUCACAGGAUGAAGAUGAAGAGUUGACCACUAAGCGUUUGAUAUAUACACACACAAAAAAAACACGACGACAAACACAAAUGUAUAUAAAUGAAGGCAGUUAUCUAAAACAAAAGCAAAAGAAUUGUUAUAGGGACUCCUUCAUUUAUCAAAUCCCGGAUCCGCCCCUGGUGUAAAGCUGGAGGGAAGUUGUCAACGGAUUGGUAUAGCUUGUCAGUGAUCCAAACUUUAUCGCACAAUGCGUAUAGUACUGUUCCAGUAAGUAGUUCAGACCACGAAGCUGGUCGUACAGUCGAUUUUAUAAUUGAUUUGAAGAACGAUUUUAAGAAAGAUCUUACGAAAGAUCAUUGAAAAUCAAUCUGGGUUCCUUAAUCGGGUUUAAUCUCAUUUUACUGAACUUCACUAUUUGUGAAACAAGGUUUGAUUUCUCCUUGAAUUUGUGAAAUUGACAUAAUUGCUGAAACAUAUUGAGUGAUUCAAUGAGAAUGCUUCCUUAUGUUGAUCCGCAGAAAUUAAAUAAUAACAUAUUUCACAUAUUGAAGUAGGUAAAGAAAUAUUGAGUGUGUGACAUCAACUCUCUCAUUCGCAUAUCAUCUGUGCUGUGCACUUCACUGUUCUGUUAAAAUAUUUUAACUUUAAAAUGUAAUUUUUAAAAUUAUAUUUUGAUGAAACUUUAUGCAGUUUUGUUUGAUUUUGCUCUAUUAAAAUCCACUUUUGAUGGAGUGGACUUGCCGUUUC